rnacentral:rRNA from 1 species
GACGAACGCUGGCGGCGUGCCUAAUACAUGCAAGUUGAGCGCUGAAGGUUGGUACUUGUACCGACUGGAUGAGCAGCGAACGGGUGAGUAACGCGUGGGGAAUCUGCCUUUGAGCGGGGGACAACAUUUGGAGACGAAUGCUAAUACCGCAUAAAAACUUUAAACACAAGUUUUAAGUUUGAAAGAUGCAAUUGCAUCACUCAAAGAUGAUCCCGCGUUGUAUUAGCUAGUUGGUGAGGUAAAGGCUCACCAAGGCGAGGAUACAUAGCCGACCUGAGAGGGUGAUCGGCCACAUUGGGACUGAGACACGGCCCAAACUCCGACGGGAUGCAGAAGUAGGGAAUCUUCGGCAAUGGACGAAAGUCUGACCGAGCAACGCCGCGUGAGUGAAGAAGGGUUUCGGAUCGUAAAACUCUGUUGGUAGAGAAGAACGUUGGUGAGAGUGGAAAGCUCAUCAAGUGACGGUAACUACCCAGAAAGGGACGGCUAACUACGUGCCAGCAGCCGCCGUAA